GCGCCCGUAGCUCAGCUGGAUAGAGUACCUGGCUACGAACCAGGCGGUCGUACGUUCGAAUCGUACCGGGCGCG
rnacentral:tRNA from 1 species